rnacentral:rRNA from 1 species
UACGUAGGGGGCGAGCGUUAUCCGGAAUUAUUGGGCGUAAAGGGUGCGUAGGCGGCCUUUUAAGUCAGAUGUGAAAGGCUACGGCUUAACCGUAGUUAGCAUUUGAAACUAAAAGGCUUGAGUGCAGGAGAGGAGAGUGGAAUUCCUAGUGUAGCGGUGAAAUGCGUAGAUAUUAGGAGGAACACCAGUGGCGAAGGCGACUCUCUGGACUGCAACUGACGCUGAGGCACGAAAGCGUGGGGAGC